GGAUGCGAUCAUACCAGCACUAACGCACCGGAUCCCAUCAGAACUCCGAAGUGAAGCUUGCUUAGGCGAGAGUAGUCCUAGGAUGGGUGACCCCCUGGGAAGUGCUCGUGUUGCAUCCC
rfam:Nicotiana attenuata strain TT scaffold02421, whole genome shotgun sequence.